CUCUCCAGCAUGUGGUUUGGUAUUUCUUGACUGCAAGUAUUCAGCAGCCACAACUGAACUGAAGAUCAGCAAGUAUUUAAGCAACACAUAUGUUUGGUUUGCAUGUGUUAUAACCAGAUCAACGAAGUUUCUGCACAUCAUGAGUAAGAGGUGAAGAAAUCAUGUUUGCAAAUGGCCAUCGAUUAAACUGCAGUAUUUUCCAUGAACUGUGGUAACUCUUGCCUAGAAAAACUGCAUGAGAAAAAGUCUUGCUUCAGGUGAAUUUUUGCGUUAUCAUCUUUUGUACAGGUUGAAACUAUCAAGUGUUAACUUUUGUGGUUUGUUAACAAGACUGUUCAUCAUAUCCACUUGUGCAGGUACCAUAGCCAGAGUCACUUAUUCGGCAUGGUUUUAUACUGGAAUUAACCACAUAACUAAUUUUGUUUUACCACCUUGACGCCUUCAGUUACAUAGAGCUUCUGUCAAUGCCCAACCGAUAAUGAACAAGUACAAUUUUAUAGAUGGUUCAAGUGAAGUUGUGCAAAGUGAAUCAAUUCUGCAAGAUACCAUGCCAUACAUUUUUCCUUGGUAGCAUUAACAUGUAUAGAUCAUUUUAUUGUGUACAACAAAGUCAACAAUACAUGUUUGUAUAACCAUGGCUUUGGUCAAUUUCUGCCAUCGAGCUUCUGCGAAAAUGUGACCAGGAACUAAUUAUGUCGUAAUUCAGUAUAGAACCUGACACUAAAUAAUACUCCCUUCGUUCACUAAUGUAAGACCUUUUAGCUUUUUCUUGAUCGGUUUCUCUUCUUCAGUUGUUGGCUGCCCGUGCAACAAUUUUUCUUGAACCAAGUACUUUGCACUAUAUUUUGAACUUUCUAAUUUUGUUCCGUGACAUGUUUUUGCAGCCUUCCAUUCAAAAUUAGAUCUGGAGGCCUUCGGAUAGCAAUAAAUUUUACCUUUGUUUGUUCAUGCUUCAUGAAUUUGUUUUCCAACUGAUUAUUUGUUGUUGCAAAUUUCAGAUUUUGACAGGUUUGGGUCCAUCUAUAACAUGCUUGACCGGGCGAUCACGUGGCUAUCGAGCACUCUUAUUUUCUGGUCAUAAGCUCUUACUAAGAUGUUGUCGGUCGGGUGUCCUCUACUACUGAAGUUUUACCACGAUCUGGUGGUGCUUGAGAGCAGAGACGACAUACUUUCAUCAGCAGUGGCCAAACCCCCACCGCCGCCGGUGCUGUACACCCCUGUACCCCUCGACAUCCAGUGCCUCGCGUCUGCCCAACAUGAAAACCUCCUCAAUAGGAUAGUGCCCUUUAUGUGCAUGAACUAAUGGGUGUGUUCACAACAUAGAGCAGCUUCUCCAUCCAGUCUCAUGUCUUUCUCUUUAGCAGGGAUCAGUGAGUACUACCGAGCAAAAAAGUCCUUCUCUUCGUCAUAUUUCUUCCUUUUCCUUACUACUUUUGUGGCUCCAAAUCUCUUGAUGGCUCUAUGUCUGUUCUUUUUGUUGACAUGGAUUUUACCCUGAAAGUUUUUCUUCUGAUCUACAAUGUUCUGCCAUCUAAAUUUUUCUGUAUAUUAUGAAUGAGUAGACACUGGUGCAGAAGCCCAAUUGGAUGAAAUUACGGACUACAGAGAGGUGUAAUUAUUAAUUAAUUCAUUUCUUUAAAAGAUAUGCAACUAGCAGAGUUUCUUACUUCUAUGAUUUGGAUUAUGACCGAAUUGAAGAACUUAUGUGGACAGCCCGGCAGAUUUCAGUGGCAAGACUUUUGUACAAUUACAGUGGCAGAUUUCAGAAAUUUGUAGAGCACAUGAUUUACAAGAACAAGAUAUUCUGUCAAGCCAUGGAUAUCAACAAUCAGUCAAGCAAAGAAAUAUUCAUGGGAGAUAUACAGGGAUCCACAAGAAUGUGCACCGUGUAGCACUACCCUUUUGUCAUUGAGCCACUAUCACAUUUUGGCCAGCAAUCAGUUCAAGCAGUUCUCGGCGCCUUUAGUCAGAAGCUGGAAUUUACAACUAAACGAACAUCAAGCAACAGAAGAAAGGGUGGUCAUCUCUUUUUCUUGGCACCAAGAUGCCAUACAAGCAUUGAGACAUCGGAAACACAUAAGAAGUUUGUAUAUAAAUGAUUAGCCUUUUAGAAGUAUAUGGCGUUGCUUAAACUAUGUUUCUUUUGGCAACACCAUAUGAAAUGGAGAAAGUUUUAGGUUUAGGAUAAAAUUGUUCUAGAUUUUGAGAAAAUUGUUACAGAUCCAUGAGAAAAAUGUCCCAACUUUAGGAAAUUAACUAUCCAUAUUUUCGGUUAUUGGUUAAUAAGCUGGCCACAAUAGUUUUUUUAUUUCUAA